rnacentral:sRNA from 1 species
GCAGCGUGUGGUGGUGCGUGCCUGUAAUCCCAGCUACUCUGGAGGCUGAGGCAGGAGGAUCUCAAGUGCAAAGCCAGCCUCAGCAAAAGCAAGGCACUAAGCAACUCAGUGAGACUCUGUCUCUA